UGUUAAAAAAUUUCAUCCAUUUUUACGGUUAAAAACUGGGGUUACUAAUAGAAUAACCAAACAAUUAGAUGUGACACAUUUUGACAUAUAAAUACCAAUUUUUAAUGUAAAAACAAAUGAAUUUUUUAACA
rfam:Gossypium raimondii Chr09_contig_154, whole genome shotgun sequence.